UCCUCCCUUGCUCCGCCCGCGGUGUCCAUGGAGCUGCAUGCCGGCAACCGCGGGCGCCUCGUCGCUGCGCUCAGAGCCCAUCUCUCCGCCUCUGGCCGCCCUCUCCACGGCAUCGUCCUUCUCAAGGGCGGCGAGGAGCAGACUCUAUACUGCACCGACCGUGUCCCGCUCUUCAGGCAGGAGAGCUACUUCGCCUAUCUCUUCGGUGUGCGAGAGCCAGGGUUCUACGGUGCAGUCGACAUUGCAUCUGGACAAUCUAUGUUAUUUGCUCCAAGGUUGACACUUGACGACGCAGUUUGGAAUGGUGAAAAAGAUUUGUCUUUUUUCAAGGAUAGGUACAAGGUCGAUUAUGUCUUCUAUGUUGACGAGCUUGCACAGGUUCUCCUGUCUCAAUUUAGUGAGCAUGGAGAGCCCCUUCUCUUUCUCUUAUACGGAAAGAAUACUGACAGCGGAAAUUACUCAAAGCCUGCGAGUUUUGAGGGGAUAGAGAAGUUUGACACUGAUUUAAGCACGCUUCAUCCUAUCUUAACUGAAUGCCGUGUUAUAAAAUCUGACAUGGAGCUUGCCUUCAUUCAAUAUGCUAAUGAUGUCAGCUCCAAAGCACAUAUUGAGGUUAUGAGGCAGAUAAAACCAGGCAUGAAGGAAUCUCAGUUAGAAAGCAUCUUUAUUCAUCAUGCAUCUAUGCACGAAGGCUGUCGACAUUGCUCCUACACAUGUAUAUGUGCUACUGGACAGAACAGUUCUACUCUUCAUUAUGGACAUGCGGGAGCUCCAAAUGACCAGACGCUGAAUGAUGGAGACAUGGCUCUAAUGGACAUGGGCGCUGAAUACAAUUUCUAUGGUUCUGACAUCACAUGUUCAUACCCUAUAAAUGGAAAAUUCAAAAGAAACCAGACGAUUAUAUACAAUGCUGUCCUUAGGGCUCAUAAUGAUGUGAUAUCACAUAUGCAGCCUGGAGUAAAAUGGAUCGAUAUGCACAAGCUGGCAGAGCAAAGAAUACUUGAAUCUCUAAAGAAAGAAAACAUUAUCCAUGGUGAUAUUGGUGAUAUGAUGAAUCAAAGGUUGGGUGCUGUUUUCAUGCCUCAUGGUCUUGGGCACUUACUUGGAAUUGACACCCACGAUCCCGGAGGCUACCCCGAGGGCUUAGAGAGGCCAGAGGAGCCAGGAUUGAGAUCCUUGCGGACAAUAAGAGAACUUAAAGAAGGCAUGGUUAUUACGGUCGAGCCAGGCUGUUAUUUCAUUGGCGCUUUGCUGAGGCAUGCCAAGGAUGACCCGAGUUCCUCAAAGUUCUUCAACUGGGAAAAGAUAGAAAUGUACAAAAGCUUUGGCGGUAUUCGCAUUGAAAGUAAUCUGUAUGUGACGGCGCAAGGAUGCAAGAACCUGACAAACUGCCCCCGAGAGACUUGGGAAAUCGAAGCGGUAAUGGCUGGUGCCCCAUGGCCUUCACGCGGUGACUGUUCCAGUGCGACUACAACAGAGAAUGGCCUUCCCAAGGCCUAA
rnacentral:rRNA from 1 species